UCAGCCUCGCAACGGCUUCCUGGCGCGGGGACCUUGUUUUCAAUGGAGCA
rfam:Roseibacterium elongatum DSM 19469, complete genome.